CUCACCAUGUUAAAUCCGUGUCAAUGUCUAAUUUUACUUCACAAGAAGUUGAAGCCCUUAAAGAAGGCAGUAAUCAGCGUGCAAUGGAAACAUUUAUAAGAGAUUGGGACCCACGAGAACAUAGACUUCUACAUAACAGCAAUGUGGAGAAAGUUUGAGAUUUUAUAAAGAGUGUCUACGUGGAUAAGAAGUUUUUCACUUCAAAGGCGUCCGGAAAACCUUCUAGAGAUGCAAUGGAUGGUUCGGUUCUAUAUUGGAUGUGAUGGAAGUUGUUUUGAAGGCAUUUGCACCAAGGAGGUACUAUGAAAUCGACCUCCAUUAACGGCGUGAAGAUGUAUACAGUUGUAGGAUAACAUCGCUCGCUGGCCACUUGGCUACCGCCGAAGAAGCUUAGAGCUCUUCGCAAAGACAAAAAUUACACGGAAAGGGUGGAUUUGAUCCAAGAUUUAAGAUUUGUCAACGUUCUAAAGCCAUUGGUACAUAAUUGCACGCCAAUUACUCGACAAAAUGUCUCAAUGAAGUGCUGCCAUAAAAAUUGAAGUCAUAACGAUGUCCAGCAGAGUUCCAGCAAUAAGCAACUAACACACUUCUACUACAAAUUGCACCACCAAUAUGUAAGUUUAAGUGCACAAGAAUUGUUAAUUUGCAA